CCCGGGGCGCUGGGGCGCGGCGGUGGGGAUGCGGGGCGCCCUGCGGCGGGUGCCCCUCUCGGCGGGUGCCCCUCUCGGCGGGUGCCCGGCGGCGGGGGCGGUGCUGCCGGUGGCUCUGUGGCUUGUGAGCGGUUCCGUCCGUGCCGCAGCGGUAGCUUGGGCCGCCGGGCGCUCCGGCAGCGGCAGGGCGGUGGCUGGCGGCCCGGGGAGCGAUGCACUCGGCCUCAGAGCUGCUGCCGCUGCCUCCCGAGGCAGCUCCUUCGGCAGAGCAUGUGCGCGCCCGAGCAGCAGAGCGGUUCCCCGUUUCUCUCACAGGGGUUAGAACUGCUCUCUGCUGUUCAGCGGCAGAGGGGUUGGAGCUGGAUGAUAUUUAAGGUCCCUUCCAACCCAAACCAUGCUAUGAUUAUAAAUCCAAUUCUGGCAGCACAAAACAAUAACUAUAAGCUGAGGAACUGAAGGGGCGGGUCGCUGGCACCGUUCCCUUAACGGCGUAAGGCAUCACUUAAAAGGUGAGCGAUUAUCACCCUGUUGUAACUGCGUUGUUGUUUUGGUUGCCAAGCGUAGUGGCUGUGUGCUAACAACAGUGGAGUUGCGGAGUUCAGCCUGACACCCAGUAGCCACAAAGGGACAUGCGUGUGUCUUGUGAGAGCAAGAGGGACCUUGUUAGUGCGUGCUGCUCUGCUGCCAGCGGGCUGCGGUGGUUGCUUUGGGUUAGCUCUAGAUUCAUCAAGUCUUCAAAGGAAUGACAGAUCAGACAUCCAGAGAGACUCGGUUUUGCUGAUAAAUCAUUUUCAUUGACAGAUGUGUGUCCUAAUUCUGAAGAUAAAUGGUCUCUUUUCUGCUUUUGGGAAUUUGGCAAGUGGUGUAGGUGACCCUGGCCAUGCCCUUUGGGGGCAGGACCCCAGGGCUCAGUGGUCUCUUUGGCCAUGCUCUCCUGCCAGGACCAUUGUGUGAGUGCUGACCCUAACUCAAGUGAUAGGGAAACAGGUCAGCAGUGGUGGGUGAGCGGGGGUUAGAGGCUGUGCCCUGCUGGGGUACCCCUCUCCCCAGGGCUGGCUGUUUCUCAGGAGCAGUGCAGCAGUCCUGCAAUCAGUCAUUGUUUGCACGGGAGCUUGCUCUAGGCGAGUCUUGUCUAACCGCCAGCUCAGCUGGCGCUGUCAGGAGUUUUUUCCCCAGGUAAUGACAAAGCCAGCAGUGAGGCAGCAAGUGAAGUUAUGAGUUUGUUACAAGGUUUGGGAAUCAUCAGUCUGGACUCUGCCAUGCUGUUGCCUUGCAAGCAGAAAGAUGUCAUGUCAAUUCUGGAGCUACAGAAGUGCUGUGACAUCAGAUGACCUUCUCCACUGUCUCCAAACCCUGUGUAUGCACAUACAGCCAACAGCAGACUGCAUCCACCUCUAGAAGAAUGGGUGUUUAAGGUGCUUGAACACAGCAGCCUGAAAUGUGGAGUUCUAAUGCACUUGGAAAUGCUUUCCUGGCCCUUCCUGUUCCUCAGAAAUAUGGCUUGAUUCAACAGCAAGGCAGGGGAGCAGCUGUUCUGUGAACAAUCCUCAGAUGAUGUUCAGCUGAAACUCUAGAAAGGGAAACAGCCCUGUGGGCACUUGGAGAACUCAGUAUGAAUACCUAACUGUACCAAAUUGAAGAAAAUUGAAUAAAUUGAGUGUUAAAACCUGUAGAAGAACUGUCUAAAUGAGUGUUUACACUGUUAGUAGUGGCAGCUUUCCUGCUUGCCUUCAUGGCAGUGUGUGUAUGAGUAAAAUCUCGGGUUUGUGUUUUCAGUGACUAGUGUUUUGUCGAGGCGCUGUGAGUGGUACAUCCUGCUGGAUGCCCUGGCUAGGAGUCACACCGAGCAAACCUUUGGUGUCCAGCUUGUUAAAGCUGACGGGGAAACCUGUACAAUUUUUCUGCUGCCUCUUUUUAACCCAGGCCCUCGUGGAUGUAAAAUCUGGCCAGUGUUCUGCCUAUUGCCAUAUUGAUGUUAGGAAGACAGAAUUCAGGAAAGUCCAUAGUUGGAGAAGCAUGUGGUGUCUCAGCCACUUCAUCUUCUACCACACCAUUCUUUACACUUGUUUUUGCAGUGAGGUAGAUAGAGUUGAUCUCACUGAGCUGCCUACCCACCAGAUUGCCUGACAGCUUUUUUGUUUCACUUUCCUGUAGGGUUCUACUCUCCCCUGCAGUCUAUACAAAGUAAUGUGGAAAUAGUGAGGUUUUUUAGACUGCAGGAGCACACUUGGCAUCCUGCUCUAAUAUGGUGCUGUAAUGUAAAACUAAGACACAGAACAUCAAGCAGUAUGGUGACGCUUUUAUACAUUUUACAGAGCACGAGUAAUUUAAGAAAGUUGGCUUAAGCCGGAAAAUGUACCACCCCUCAUUGAGUGGUGUAUUUAAAAAGAAGCAACAAGAGAAACUUUUUGGAGAGAGUUCAUGGAGUUGAAAUGAAACAUUAGAUUCUAAACUCCUGGUUUAAUUCUUAGUUGUAGUCUUAUUAAAAGCCCUGCUUUAUUCCUCGCUUAACUGUGGACGAACAGUGGUAGCCAGGAAGUAAAGUUCAGGUUCUGGCUUUAUUCUGAAGCUGUGGCCUUCCAGGAUGAAGAUGUCACUCCUGCCUCUAAAACAACACUGUCACAAAACUUGUGAUUAAAUCUUGUCAACCAUGCUUUAUCCCUUAGCAAACCAGCACUGACCUGUCUGACAAAAACACUAAAAACUUUAUUAGUUGUAUAUUUCUAACUGCAGUCUCAGAAGGCUAAAGACUCAGGCUUUACUUACUUACACAAUGGACUUUUCACUCUUCAUUAGUGUUAAUGUGAAUUCCUGGGCCAUAUGCACCAAUGAACUUCAGCAGUUGAUGGUGACACUGCAUGAGGUAACUGUCUCUCUGUUGCAGGGAGUUUUCAUCACUGAGGUCAAAUGGAAAUACAGGAUUUGGUGCUAUGCAUAAUGCAGACUUGCCUAAGCAAAGAAGAAAGAGACUUAUGCUGAAAGAUGUGAUAAACUUCUGCCAGAUUUGAUAAACUUCCCUUCGAAGGGAAAAGAAAGCUGUGACACAGAUUACUUAAAUGGCAACAUAAAAGAUUGUGUUGUGGAGUGUUACAUGGUAAUUCUUGUCUCACUGCCAAAUUUGUGUAUGAACCAAUGUGACUGUGAUGCUAGAUAAACAACCUGCAACCCUUGUCUACUGUUUCCCCAGGGAGGGAAGUCUGCCAGCAUGAAGGACAGCACUGACUGUGUGGCAAAGUCAACUGAAAGACCUGACACAAGUCUUCAGUGCAACUUCUGGACUUUGAUUUGACAUGAACUAUUAUUGCAAUCAAUUGAUACAAACUUUUUUCAAACUGACAAAAUCUGAAAACUCUGUACCCAAGACUAAAGACUGAGUUGCAUUAUUUACCGUGUUUUAGGGUCAGAGAUGAUUCAAGUAACAAGACGGCAAUCAACGCAUCUUCUUCAAGUACUUUCUUUCUUAGACUUAGUUUAGCAUGAGCCUUAGACAGUGAAAUCCUGACACAUGAAUACAAGCAUGUCAGAAAUAAAUAUUGCGGACAUGAAUGUAGUAUGUACUGUGCUGCUUCAAGCGCUUCCAAACCUCAAAAGUUAACACAAGUGGGUUUUUCCUAUACCUUGGCUGUGUAAACUCCCCCCAGAUACUGUGUGGUUAUACUUGUCACUGACGAGGUGUGUGUUACUAGGCAUGCUUUUCUUAUGCUCUGAAAGCAGUGGAAGCUGGCAUAUUAUAUACUGUUAAUAACUUUGCUUGUGUAAUACCAAGCUGUAAUAAUUAAAAUCCGAUUUUUGUUUUCCUA